rnacentral:rRNA from 1 species
GACGAGGGAUCCUAGCGUUGUUCGGAAUCAUUGGGCGUAAAGCGGGUGCAGGUGGCUAUGUAAGUCAGGUGUGAAAGCCUGGGGCUCAACCCCAGAAGUGCAUUUGAUACUGCGUAGCUUGAGUGCUAGAGAGGUUAGUAGAAUUGUUGGUGUAGUGGUGAAAUACGUAGAUAUCAACAGGAAUACCGGAGGCGAAGGCGGCUAACUGGCUAGACACUGACACUCAGACCCGAAAGCGUGGGGAUCAAACAGG